CUUCGGCCUUCCCCAUUUAACAGCUAGAUUCCAACGGGAAAACGUGUGGCCUCCUUGAGAAUGUUAAGCUGCAUGCUAUGUCAUUACUGCUAUAAUUAAUUAGUGACUCUUCUAAUUAAAUUAAUAUUUUUCCAUUUAUUAAUAAUGAAACCUAACAUUAACUAUUCUUUAAACAUAAAUAAAACCAAAGAAAAAAAUAAAAUAAAAAAAUAAAGACUCGAUCUUCACCUUCCUCCCUCUCGUUCGUUAAUUAUCUCCCUCUCUUUCUAUU
rnacentral:lncRNA from 1 species